rnacentral:rRNA from 1 species
UACAGAGGUCUCAACCGUUGUUCGGAUUUAUUGGGCGUAAAGGGUGCGUAGGUGGUCGUGUAAGUCGGAUGUGAAAUCCUAAGGCUCAACCUUGGAACUGCAUUCGAUACUGCAUGGCUUGAGCGCUGGAAAGGAGACUGGAAUUUACGGUGUAGCAGUGAAAUGCGUAGAUAUCGUAAGGAAGACCAGUGGCGAAAGCGAGUCUCUGGACAGAUGCUGACACUGAGGCACGAAGGCCAGGGGAGCAAACGGG